UCAGGCGGCUGGACGGUCGCGGUGCCAGGUCCGGAAACGGCGGUAUCGAGGAAAGUCCGGGCUCCACGGAGACAAGGUGCCGGAUAGCGUCCGGCGGGGGAAACCCCAGGGAAAGCGCAGCAGAGAGCAGACCACCGGUCCUGCGGGAUCGGAAAGGGUGAAAGGGUGCGGUAAGAGCGCACCGCCCCGACCGCAAGGAAGGGGGCAUGGCAAGCCCCACCUGGAGCAAGACCGAAUAGGGAUGAGCGCGGUAUACCGCACGUGCGUCUCCGCAUGUCAUCCGGGUAGGUCGCACCAGCGGCGUUGCAAGGCGUCGCGCAGAUGAAUGAUCGUCACCCUUCGGGGUACAGAACCCGGCUUACAGGCCGCCUGAUCAA
rnacentral:RNase_P_RNA from 1 species